AUCGCUUCUCGGCCUUUUGGCUAAGAUCAAGUGUAAAACUCAGCUGAACCAAAUGACACUACACUUUUUAUUUAUUAAUAUUUUUAUCUUUU
rnacentral:snRNA from 1 species